rnacentral:rRNA from 1 species
UACGAAGGGGGCUAGCGUUGUUCGGAUUCACUGGGCGUAAAGGGUGCGUAGGUGGCUGGGAAAGUUUGAUGUGAAAGCUCAGGGCUUAACCCUGAAAUGGCAUUGAAUACUACUUAGAUGGAGGUUUGGAGGGGGGACUGGAAUUCUUGGUGUAGCAGUGAAAUGCGUAGAUAUCAGGAGGAACACCAGUGGCGAAGGCGGCUCACUGGACCGGUACUGACGCUGAUGCGCGAAAGCGUGGGAAGCAAACAGG